AUUGAACGCUGGCGGCAUGCCUUACACAUGCAAGUCGAACGGUAACAGGUCUUCGGAUGCUGACGAGUGGCGAACGGGUGAGUAAUACAUCGGAACGUGCCCAGACGUGGGGGAUAACGAGGCGAAAGCUUUGCUAAUACCGCAUACGAUCUAAGGAUGAAAGCAGGGGACCGCAAGGCCUUGUGCGUUUGGAGCGGCCGAUGGCAGAUUAGGUAGUUGGUGGGAUAAAAGCUUACCAAGCCGACGAUCUGUAGCUGGUCUGAGAGGACGACCAGCCACACUGGGACUGAGACACGGCCCAGACUCCUACGGGAGGCAGCAGUGGGGAAUUUUGGGCAAUGGGCGAAAGCCUGAUCCAGCAAUGCCGCGUGCAGGAUGAAGGCCUUCGGGUUGUAAACUGCUUUUGUACGGAACGAAAAGGCUCUGGCUAAUACCUGGGGCACAUGACGGUACCGUAAGAAUAAGCACCGGCUAACUACGUGCCAGCCGCCGCCGUAACAC
rnacentral:rRNA from 1 species